UACGUAGGGACCGAGCGUUGUCCGGAUUCAUUGGGCGUAAAGAGCUCGUAGGCGGCUGCUCAAGUCGAAUGUGAAAACUCGAGGCUCAACCUCGAGCCUGCAUUCGAUACUGGGCGGCUAGAGUCUGGUAGGGGGAUCUGGAAUUCCUGGUGUAGCGGUGGAAUGCGCAGAUAUCAGGAGGAACACCGGUGGCGAAGGCGGUCUUCUGGACGGUGACUGACGCUGAGGCGCGAAAGCGUGGGGAGCAAACGGG
rnacentral:rRNA from 1 species